AACGAACGCUGGCGGCAUGCCUAAUACAUGCAAGUCGAACGAUCCUUUCGGGGAUAGUGGCGCACGGGUGCGUAACGCGUGGGAAUCUGCCCUUGGGUUCGGAAUAACUUCGGGAAACUGAAGCUAAUACCGGAUGAUGACGAAAGUCCAAAGAUUUAUCGCCCAGGGAUGAGCCCGCGUAGGGUUAGCUAGUUGGUGGGGUAAAGGCCUACCAAGGCGACGAUCCUUAGCUGGUCUGAGAGGAUGAUCAGCCACACUGGGACUGAGACACGGCCCAGACUCCUACGGGAGGCAGCAGUAGGGAAUAUUGGACAAUGGGCGAAAGCCUGAUCCAGCAAUGCCGCGUGAGUGAUGAAGGCCUUAGGGUUGUAAAGCCCUUUUACCCGAGAUGAUAAUGACAGUAUCGGGAGAAUAAGCUCCGGCUAACUCCGUG
rnacentral:rRNA from 1 species